UACAGAGGUGCCAAGCGUUGUUCGGAUUUAUUGGGCGUAAAGGGUGCGUAGGCGGUUGUGUAAGUCGGGUGCGAAAUUUCGGAGCCUAACUCCGAAACUGCAUUCGAAACUGCACAGCUCGAGGUCUGGAGAGGUGAUUGGAAUUCUAGGUGUAGCAGUGAAAUGCGUAGAUAUCUAGAGGAACACCAGAGGCGAAAGCGAAUCACUGGACAGAACCUGACGCUGAGGCACGAAAGCUAGGGGAGCAAACGGG
rnacentral:rRNA from 1 species